rnacentral:rRNA from 1 species
CUGACGUUCAUGCUCGAAGGUGCGGGUAUCGAACAGGAUUAGAUACCCUGGUAGUCCGCACGGUAAACGAUGGAUGCCCGCUGUUGGCGACACACAGUCAGCGGCCAAGCGAAAGCAUUAAGCAUCCCACCUGGGGAGUACGCCGGCAACGGUGAAACUCAAAGGAAUUGACGGGGGCCCGCACAAGCGGAGGAACAUGUGGUUUAAUUCGAUGAUACGCGAGGAACCUUACCCGGGCUUGAACUGCGGCGGAAGGAUACAGAGAUGUUGACGCCCUUCGGGGCCGCUGUGGAGGUGCUGCAUGGUUGUCGUCAGCUCGUGCCGUGAGGUGUCGGCUUAAGUGCCAUAACGAGCGCAACCCCUUUCUUCAGUUGCCAUCGGGUGAUGCCGGGCACUCUGGAGACACUGCCACCGCAAGGUGUGAGGAAGGUGGGGACGACGUCAAAUCAGCACGGCCCUUACGUCCGGGGCUACACACGUGUUACAAUGGGUGGUACAGAGAGAUAGUGCUGCGCAAGCCGCAUUGAAUCAUGAAAUCCAUCCUCAGUUCGGAUUGGGGUCUGCAACCCGACCCCAUGAAGCUGGAUCGCUAGUAAUCGC